ACGAAGUCUUUGAUGUUACGGCAGAUGAUUUGCUUAUAUUUUUUUUAGUUCAAGCAACGAUCUCAAUACUUGAAACCGGCACGCUUAAAUCUGCAUGCACUAUGCUGUAAUCGAAAAAUGAUGUUAUUAAAAAACCCAGCAGCAGUACCCAACAGAACGACACAGUGGACGGACACGAGACGUCGUGAAGAUGUGUACGCGUGACGGGUAUUCUCCAGGAACGAUCGACAGCAUGCAGGUAUUUUUAUUUUUGUGGUUUUCUGUUUAUUUUAACAUCAAUGUUAAUUAAUUAAUUGGCAUUUUCAAAAAAGAAAA